CCUAGCUGUGCCCCCUCCUCUCUUAUAUAGGCGUCCUCCAAUCAGCCCCGAGUUGGAGGCGCAAUUAGAAAACCCUUAGCCUCUUCUAAUUCGGGUCCAACCCAAAUUAGGCUUCCAGCCCCUUAAGCUUGCGAUCCUAUGGGUUCACAUACAUGUAGACAUGGACCGAGUACUCCUACUCGUCCAAUAGUUGAUAGCAGCCUCUAGCAAGGCGUGACAACUCCUAUAUGCAUGCAAAGAUCAUAUCAGACGAACCACUAGAUACACAUACAUGUUAGUCCCUUGCCACA
rnacentral:lncRNA from 1 species